rnacentral:tRNA from 1 species
GGUUGUGGCUCAGUGGUAGAGUGCUAGCCUAGCAUGUGUGAGGCACUGGGUUUGAUUCUCAGCACUG